rnacentral:misc_RNA from 1 species
GUGAAAUAUCGUCGGAGUAGCCGCUGGAUGUCAACUUUCCGGGGAUGGGGUAUUGUUAGGAACCAAGGUAGUAUGGGCUAUCUUUGUACCACAUUGGUUAGAAUGAGAUGACCAAUGUGGUACUUAAGUGGCUUGGCUCUCUCACCUCAAUAGCUGGGAUUGGAUUGUUGUUCUCCAAAGUGCUUUAAGUACCUCCAAGAGUCGUU